UUUGAAAUCUGGCUUCGGCCCGAGUUGUAAUUUGCAGAGGAUGUUUCUGGCGCGGUGCCUUCCGAGUUCCCUGGAACGGGACGCCACAGAGGGUGAGAGCCCCGUAUGGUCGGACACCAAGCCUGUGUGAAACUCCUUCGACGAGUCGAGUAGUUUGGGAAUGCUGCUCUAAAUGGGAGGUAAAUCUCUUCUAAAGCUAAAUACCGGCCAGAGACCGAUAGCGCACAAGUAGAGUGAUCGAAAGAUGAAAAGCACCUUGAAAAGGGGGUUAAAUAGUACGUGAAAUUGUUGAAAGGGAAGCACUUAUGACCAGACUUGGGCCGGGCGGCUCAUCAGGGGUUCUCCCCUGUGCACUCCGCCCGGCACAGGCCAGCAUCGGUUUUCGCGGGGGGAUAAGACCGACGGGAACGUAGCACCCUCCGGGGUGUGUUAUAGCCCGGCGGACGAUACCCUCGCGGGGACCGAGGUCCGCGCUCCGCAAGGAUGCUGGCGUAAUGGUCAUCAGUGACCCGUCUUGAAACACGGACCAAGGAGUCGUCCAUUAGAGCGAGCGUUUGGGUGUAAAACCCGCACGCGUAAUGAAAGUGAACGCAGGUGAGAGCUUCGGCGCAUCAUCGACCGAUCCUGAUGUUCUCGGAAGGAUUUGAGUAAGAGUUUUAACGGACGGACCCGAAAGACAGUGAACUAUGCUUGUAUAGGGUGAAGCCAGAGGAAACUCUGGUGGAGGCUCGCAGCGGUUCUGACGUGCAAAUCGAUCGUCAAAUAUGAGCAUGGGGGCGAAAGACUAAUCGAACUGUCUAGUAGCUGGUUACCGCCGAAGUUUCCCUCAGGAUAGCAGUGUUGAUCUUCAGUUUUAUGAGGUAAAGCGAAUGAUUAGGGACUCGGGGGCUAUAUAUUGCCUUCAUCCAUUCUCAAACUUUAAAUAUGUAAGAAGCCCUUGUUACUUAGUUGAACGUGGGCAUUCGAAUGUACCAACACUAGUGGGCCAUUUUUGGUAAGCAGAACUGGCGAUGCGGGAUGAACCGAACGCGGGGUUAAGGCGCCAGAGUGUACGCUCAUCAGACACCACAAAAGGCGUUAGUACA
rnacentral:rRNA from 1 species